CCCGGCGAGAGAUCGGAUCAGAACCAGAACAUUCUCAUUCCAGCACACAUCCACUCCAAACACCAGAACCAUGCAGCAGCUGUUAGUGGGUCGGAACCAGAACUCCGGAUCGAAACCUCAGCUCCAGGACAGUCUGGAUCAGAACCUCUGGAGAAGUUCUGGUCCAGACCGGGUCGACGAGCCGAGGUCCGGGUCGGGUUCUGACAGGGGGUGGGGUUAGUUAGCAGGGAGGUGCCGAGCGAACCAGAACCAGAACCAGCUCAACCUUCCAGAAAGAUCAUCAGCUACUUGGUACUGAUAGAGACAGAAAACCCGACGGUACGCUAAGCUAUCGGAGAGGAAGAGGAGGAGGAAGAGGACACGUCAAGCUGAGGAAGACCAUCAUCAUCAUCAUCACACAUUCAUAGAGGAGGAAGAGAUAUUGACCCGUCCAGAAGAUACGUCCUGAUUGGAUGAGCCGCCGCAGCACAGAGAGAGAGAGAGAGAG